GAUUUCACGUUUGAGGCUAAGACCGGGUCCUUUACGGGGCUCUGCGUCCCAAUCCUCUACGUUCCUAGCCCGGAUGCUUUCUGGCGUUCUUAAAUGGGCGCCGGGGGGUGUUUGGGAUCAUUUACUGUGAAAAAAUUAGAGUGUACAAUGCAGGCAAUCGCUAUUGAAUACAUUAGCAUGGAAUAAUAAGAUAGGACUUUGUUUCUAUUUUGUUGGCUCUGAGGAACAAAGUAAUGAUUGAUAGGGAUAGUUGGGGGUGCUCGUAUUUAACGGUCAGCGGUGAAAUGCAUGGACCCGUUAAAGACGAACCUAUGCGAAAGCAUU
rnacentral:rRNA from 1 species